AUGGAAGACAGAGAGUCAAGAAAGGAAUCUGAGAGAAAUGAGGAGGGAGAUCAUAGUUUAUGGACUAAGGAGUCGUUUAAUCUCUCGGAGGAAACAGAAAGGGCUCACUCUACUCUUGAUGGUAUUUUAGAAAGGAUGAUCCAUGCAGUUCCUGGGGAUGAGGAGAUCCAAGAACAGCCUGAGGGACAUGCUCUUUGGGCCAUUGCAAGCCUGCAAGAUCCAGAAGAUGUUGGAAGAAAGAAGGGAGCUGGGGCCACAAACAGAGCACCAGGAGGCUGUGCAGGGAGUUCAGAAGGUCCUCUUCAUCUGUAAAAGCUGCUGGAUGCUGUACUGGGCAGUACCACGUUUAUUGUAUUGUUAGCAUUCAAUUUGUGGAGCUUGCACAGGCUAGGCUUUUGCUUUUCUUGAUUUCUGGGUAUUGUUUCUACCCUGUGGUUUUAAAGGAGAGGAAGCUGCUCUAGACUUAACUCUCCAGAGAAAAUUUUCCAGUUUUGAGAGGCAGUUGAGACUGACAGCAUUGUGGACUGUUCACUGGGGUUGCAGAGUGUCUCUCUUAACUUGCACAGCAUUAGCAUAAUGAUUCUAUUUUCUGUCAGCCUUCUGGUGUGUGUUUUCCCUUGUUCAUUAAAUUUAACAAGGUAGUUUCUUGUUUUUUCUUAGUGCUUUUUUGAUCUAGUGUUGAACUGAUUUGACUGAUUAAGGGGAUUAAUUGCUGUGCAAAAAGCUAAUGAGAAAAAGGUGGAGUAUGAGAAGAUCUGGUUAGUAUUACAAAAUACUUGUUGUUUAAUUAAACCACAGUCUUGGUAAAGGCCUCAUCCAGAAAAAAACAAAAAACACCAAGGUGCCUGGAUAUAAUUGAGGUUUGGAUUUGGAUUUUGAUGGGCAUGGCAACUUCGUAGUUAAUUUUUCUUGUGAUAAAUGCUGUUGAGGUGCAGGAGGUGUGAUGACUCUCCCUGUCUACCUGACCAUGGGAUUGCAGCUGCCUUUAGCUACGUGUACAGCAUCUCGCCUUUUCAUUCCUGUUCGUGUAGGGAAAUGCUGCCUACUUGUAAGUGUUGGUUAGUGUUGUUAAACCAAAUUAAUAAAAGUUUCCAAGGUUAUUGUGCUGCCAU
rnacentral:lncRNA from 1 species